UUUCAAGCAGAUUUUUCUUGAUAUUAUCCGAAAAGACUGGAUCUUAAAUCGAUAUUUGUACAAAUAGUUCUUGCUGAAUGACGCAAUUAAACCCAAAAUUUUGACAUUUAUCGUUAUCUCUUUCGAUUGAUCUUUACUUAUUAUUUUAUUGUUCAAUAUCCUUCUCGUGUUAAAUUAUAAUCAUGGAAUCUACAUUAUUAAGUCCAGCCAAUGAAGUGGUUAAAGGAGGUAGGACGAGAAGGUCAACCAUGGAAAAGGCCGCAGAGUAUCCUCUGAUCGGUGUUGGUAUCAUGGUUGGCUUAGCAGUUGUCGCCAAUGGCAUCUACAGAUGGAGGAAGACACCUGAGAUAGUGAAUAGUGCCUGGCUGCAAAGAUACAGAGUUGGGUCUUCCGCUCCUAUUGUUAUUGGGGCAUUACUUAGCGCUAUGAUGGAAACACCGGAGAAACGAAGAGCCCGGAAGGAGCGAUAUUCAUGAUAGUAAAAUUAGGCUUAUUUCAAUCAAUGACAGGGAAUUUUAUUUUGUGAUUUUCAAAUUUCUUCAAAAAUCUUGGUUGAUCACAGAUUGAGUUUAGGUUGUUUAGGUGAUUAAUUUACGAACAGAUAUCAAAUUAUGUUUUUUAAUGAUUGAUCAAAUUGAUCUAAAAUCGGAUUAGAAAUUAGAUCCCAGUUUGGGAUGUAAAAAGGACCCCAAAAGGGUUAUGUUAUAUUGAUGUAAGUCGCUGUUAACUGUAUGAAUAUUUAAUCAAUAUAUAUACACCAAUAAAUAAUUAAACUAAUUAUUUAUUCAACAUAA